CCGCGUGAGUGAAGAAGGCAUGCUGUGGUAAAACUCUGUAGUGAGGGGAAGAAAGAAAUGACAGUACCCUAAAAGAAAGCCCCGGCUAACUACGUGCCAGCAGCCGCGGUAAUACGUAGGGGGCAAGCGUUAUCCGGAAUAACUGGGCGUAAAGGGUGCGCAGGUGGUUUAACAAGUUAGUGGUGAAAGGCAUAGGCUCAACCAAUGUAAGCCAUUAAAACUGUUUAACUUGAGUGCAGGAGAGGAAAGUGGAAUUCCUAGUGUAGCGGUGAAAUGCGUAGAUAUUAGGAGGAAUACCAGUGGCGAAGGCGACUUUCUGGACUGCAACUGACACUGAGGCACGAAAGCGUGGGGAGCAAACAGGAUUAGAUACCCGGGUAGUCCACGCCGUAAACGAUGAGUACUAGGUGUCGGGUGAAGAACUCGGUGCCGAAGUUAACACAUUAAGUACUCCGCCUGGGGAGUACGCUCGCAGAUAAACUCAAGGAAUUGACGGGGACCGCACAGCACCGA
rnacentral:rRNA from 1 species